GAUUUCUGGUUUGGCGCACUUGGCCCGCCUCGGUUACGGGGUAGUGUGCCGGUGUGCGCCUUCCAUCCUUCUGGAGAACAGUUUCGCCCUUUACUGGGUGAUUCUGGAAUCCAGAUCUUUUACUUUGAAAAAAUUAGAGUGUUUAAAGCAGGCUUGCGCUAUGAAUACAUUAGCAUGGAAUAAUAAUUUAGGACUUUGGUUCUAUUUUGUUGGUUUCUAGGACUAAAGUAAUGAUUGAUAGGGAUAGUUGGGGGUGCUAGUAUUCAGCGGCCAGAGGUGAAAUUCUUGGAUUCGCUGAAGACUAACUUAUGCGAAAGCAUU
rnacentral:rRNA from 1 species